GAGAGAAUCCUAAGGUGCUCGAGUGAUUCAUGGCUAAGGAACUCGGCAAAAUGGCCCUGUAACUUCGGGAGAAGGGGCGCUUUCAGCAAUGGAAGCCGCAGUGAAAAGGCCCAGGCGACUGUUUAACAAAAACACAUGGCUUUGCAAAAUCGAAAGAUGACGUAUAAGGCCUGACACCUGCCCGGUGCCGGAAGGUUAAGAGGGGAUGUUAGUCGCAAGGCGAAGCAUUGAAUCGAAGCCCCGGUAAACGGCGGCCGUAACAAUAAC
rnacentral:rRNA from 1 species